rnacentral:tRNA from 1 species
GGAGAGAUACCCAAGCUGGCUGAAGGGGCGGGUUUGCUAAACCUGUAGCAGGGGUCUUCCCCUGGCGAGGGUUCGAAUCCCUCUCUCUCCGCCA